CGGGAAUUUUGGGCAAUGGGCGAAAGCCUGACCCAGCAACGCCGCGUGAAGGAUGAAAUCCCUCGGGAUGUAAACUUCGCAAGAACAGGAAGAAUAAGUAAGGGUUAAUAUCUCUUACGAUGACGGUACGGGUGGAAGAAGCACCGGCUAACUCUGUGCCAGCAGCCGCGGUAAUACAGAGGGUGCGAGCGUUGUUCGGAAUUAUUGGGCGUAAAGGGCGCGUAGGCGGUGCGGUAAGUCACCUGUGAAAUCUCCUGGCUCAACUGGGAGCUUGCAGGCGAAACUGCCGUGCUGGAGUGUGGGAGAGGUGCGUGGAAUUCCUGGUGUAGCGGUGAAAUGCGUAGAUAUCAGGAGGAACACCUGUGGCGAAAGCGGCGCACUGGACCACAACUGACGCUGAGGCGCGAAAGCUAGGGGAGCAAAC
rnacentral:rRNA from 1 species